rnacentral:tRNA from 1 species
GGGCCCAUAGCUCAAGGGCAGAGCGCUCGGCUCAUAACCGAUCGGUUGUUGGUUCGAAUCCAUCUGGGCCCA